rnacentral:rRNA from 1 species
GACGAACGCUGGCGGCGUGCUUAACACAUGCAAGUCGAACGGUGAAGCGCCUUCCUUUUUGGUGGGUGUGGAUGAGUGGCGAACGGGUGAGUAACACGUGAGUAACCUGCCCCCUUCUUCUGGAUAACCGCAUGAAAGUGUGGCUAAUACGGGAUAUUCUGGGUCUGUCGCAUGAUGGGUCUGGGAAAGAUAUUGUUUCGGUGGGGGAUGGGCUCGCGGCCUAUCAGCUUGUUGGUGGGGUGAUGGCCUACCAAGGCGGUGACGGGUAGCCGGCCUGAGAGGGUGGACGGGCACACUGGGACUGAGGCACGGCCCAGACUGCUACGGGAGGCAGCAGUGGGUAAUAUGGGACGAUGGGCGCAAGCCUGAUGCGGCGACGCCGCGUGAGUGAUGGAGGCCUGCGGGUUGUGAACCUCUUUCGCCAGUGAAGCAGGCCUGCCUCGUUUGUGGGUGGGUUGACGGUAGCUGGAUAAGAAGCGCCGGCUAACUACGUG